GUGGAUUAGAUACCCGAGUAAUCCACGCCGUAAACGAUGAAUACUAGGUGUGGGGGGACUGACCCCCUCCGUGCCGCAGUUAACACAAUAAGUAUUCCACCUGGGGAGUACGGCCGCAAGGUUGAAACUCAAAGGAAUUGACGGGGGCCCGCACAAGCAGUGGAUUAUGUGGUUUAAUUCGAAGCAACGCGAAGAACCUUACCAGGGCUUGACAUCCAACUAACGAAGCAGAGAUGCAUUAGGUGCCCUUCGGGGAAAGUUGAGACAGGUGGUGCAUGGCCGUCGCCAGCU
rnacentral:rRNA from 1 species